CUCUGAGGAUGAAUCAGGAUGAAGCCUGUUGUCCAUAGGACCUUUAACUCAUUUGCUGCAGAAGUUGGAAGGUGCAUUGUGAAUGAGGCAGGUGACUGCAGAAUGAGAAAGGAUGGUCUCAUGGACUGUGUGCUUUAAAAACGACAAAGGUGUACCACUGUGAAAUUCUUUAAAAAUGUGCCUGUGAAGAGUGCCAGAUUGACAGCUCUGCUCCUAGAGCAGAGUCAGCACCCACAGCUGCAGUACAAACUUCCCUCAGCCAACAUGCUCCUGGGACCACCUGUUGUGAUAAGAUGACAAUUCAGUUUCAGUGUCCAUUAAAACCCUGAUUUUUAUGCUGAGUUUUCUGACAAGGGUGACGAUUUUCAUCAAAAAAUGGCAAUGUUUUGGUGUUGUGGAUAUCUGUCCACCUUUCUCACAGCACAA